CGAACGGUAACAGGAAGCAGCUUGCUGCUUUGCUGACGAGUGGCGGACGGGUGAGUAAUGUCUGGGAAACUGCCUGAUGGAGGGGGAUAACUACUGGAAACGGUAGCUAAUACCGCAUAACGUCACAAGACCAAAGAGGGGGACCUUCGGGCCUCUUGCCAUCGGAUGUGCCCACAUGGGAUUACCUACUAUGUGGGGUAACGGCUCACCUACGCUACGAUCCCUAGCUGGUCUGAGAGGAUGACCAGCCACACUGGAACUGAGACACGGUCCAGACUCCUACGGGAGGCAGCAGUGGGGAAUAUUGCACAAUGGGCGCAAGCCUGAUGCAGCCAUGCCGCGUGUAUGAAGAAGGCCUUCGGGUUGUAAAGUACUUUCAGCGGGGAGGAAGGCGAUAAGGUUAAUAACCUUGUCGAUUGACGUUACCCGCAGAAGAAGCACCGGCUAACUCCCUGCCAGCAGCCGCGGUAAUACGGAGGGUGCAAGCGUUAAUCGGAAUUACUGGGCGUAAAGCGCACGCAGGCGGUCUGUCAAGUCGGAUGUAAAAUCCCCUGGCUCAACCUGGGAACUGCAUUCGGUCAAGUCGGAUGUGAAAUCCCCGGGCUCAACCUGGGAACUGCAUUCGAAACUGGCAGGCUAGAGUCUUGUAGAGGGGGGUAGAAUUCCAGGUGCAGCGGUGAAAUGCGUAGAGAUCUGGAGGAAUACCGGUGGCGAAGGCGGCCCCCUGGACAAAGACUGACGCUCAGGUGCGAAAGCGUGGGGAGCAAACAGGAUUAGAUACCCUGGUAGUCCACGCCGUAAACGAUGUCGACUUGGAGGUUGUGCCCUUGAGGCGUGGCUUCCGGAGCUAACGCGUUAAGUCGACCGCCUGGGGAGUACGGCCGCAAGGUUAAAACUCAAAUGAAUUGACGGGGGCCCGCACAAGCGGUGGAGCAUGUGGUUUAAUUCGAUGCAACGCGAAGAACCUUACCUACUCUUGACAUCCAGAGAACUUAGCAGAGAUGCUUUGGUGCCUUCGGGAACUCUGAGACAGGUGCUGCAUGGCUGUCGUCAGCUCGUGUUGUGAAAUGUUGGGUUAAGUCCCGCAACGAGCGCAACCCUUAUCCUUUGUUGCCAGCGGUCAGGCCGGGAACUCAAAGGAGACUGCCAGUGAUAAACUGGAGGAAGGUGGGGAUGACGUCAAGUCAUCAUGGCCCUUACGAGUAGGGCUACACACGUGCUACAAUGGCGCAUACAAAGAGAAGCGACCUCGCGAGAGCAAGCGGACCUCAUAAAGUAUGUCGUAGUCCGGAUUGGAGUCUGCAACUCGACUCCAUGAAGUCGGAAUCGCUAGUAAUCGUGGAUCAGAAUGCUACGGUGAAUACGUUCCCGGGCCUUGUACACACCGCCCGUCACACCAUGGGAGUGGGUUGCAAAAGAAGUAGGUAGCUUAACCUUCGGGAGGGCGC
rnacentral:rRNA from 1 species